GUCUAAUUAAUUAAUCUAAUUAUUCCUGUCCUGUGACUGCUAAGGGAGGAGCUACCCAUAAGUGAUGCUGCCAUGAUUAGCCAGGAAAUCACAUUAGAGGAGUGACAUGUAAUAAAAGAUUUAAUCUGAUAUUUAUUACUAGUAACAGUGGAAUAAAAAUCUUCUAUUUUCCUAUUUGUUCUUUUAUUAUUGCAGCAAGAGUUACACCCUCCACAGUAAUAAAAACCUUUUUGUUCUUGUGCCCAACUGGUUAAAAAG